rnacentral:lncRNA from 1 species
AGAACGUGAAGGAGUCACCCAGCUAGAGAGGGCAGGAGGGUGUUCCACGAAGUACAAACAUCAUGAACAGAAAGUCAAAGAGUGAAAGUGAAGGGAGGAUUGGGGAGCAGUGAACAGACAAUGUGAGAGAGCUGCGGCACCAUGGAGAAGAGUAAUGAGAGGGACAUCCUGAAGGAAAGACAAUAUGAAGGACUGUCGAUGCCAAAGAAAGGACUUUCAGCCAUAUGCACGCAAUGGGGAGCAAUGCAAGAUUGUCAACCAAGAGACUGAGGUGCUGCUACCACAAACAUGAGGAAACUUCUGUUAGGAGUUCAACCUUCAGAGAGGACAGCUGGCAGUGCAAGAUGGUGACAGCCCUGCAAUCAGGAGAAGAAAGUCAUGAGAGUAAGGAAUGAUGGAGAGGGAUGAGAGCGUUUUCUAGGAUUUGAAGAGUUAAGAGACUCUGAAUAAUUGGCAGGGGAAGCUGGGAUGGAGAACAAAGUAGGAGAA